GACGAACGCUGGCGGCGUGCCUAAUACAUGCAAGUUGAGCGCUGAAGGUUGGUACUUGUACCAACUGGAUGAGCAGCGAACGGGUGAGUAACGCGUGGGGAAUCUGCCUUUGAGCGGGGGACAACAUUUGGAAACGAAUGCUAAUACCGCAUAAAAACUUUAAACACAAGUUUUAAGUUUGAAAGAUGCAAUUGCAUCACUCAAAGAUGAUCCCGCGUUGUAUUAGCUAGUUGGUGAGGUAAAGGCUCACCAAGGCGAUGAUACAUAGCCGACCUGAGAGGGUGAUCGGCCACAUUGGGACUGAGACACGGCCCAAACUCCUAAGGGAGGCAGCAGUAGGGAAUCUUCGGCAAUGGACGAAAGGCUGACCGAGCAACGCCGCGUGAGUGAAGAAGGUUUUCGGAUCGUAAAACUCUGUUGGUAGAGAAGAACGUUGGUGAGAGUGGAAAGCUCAUCAAGUGACGGUAACUACCCAGAAAGGGACGGCUAACUACGUG
rnacentral:rRNA from 1 species